rnacentral:rRNA from 1 species
AAGUCGAACGAAGCACCUUGGACAGAAUCCUUCGGGAGGAAGACCAUUGUGACUGAGUGGCGGACGGGUGAGUAACGCGUGGGUAACCUGCCUUGUGCAGGGGGAUAACAGUUGGAAACGACUGCUAAUACCGCAUAAGCGCACAGUACCGCAUGGUACGGUGUGAAAAACUCCGGUGGUACAAGAUGGACCCGCGUCUGAUUAGCUGGUUGGUGAGGUAACGGCCCACCAAGGCGACGAUCAGUAGCCGACUUGAGAGAGUGAUCGGCCACAUUGGGACUGAGACACGGCCCAAACUCCUACGGGAGGCAGCAGUAGGGAAUAUUGCACAAUGGGGGAAACCCUGAUGCAGCGACGCCGCGUGAAGGAAGAAGUAUUUCGGUAUGUAAACUUCUAUCAGCAAGGAAGAAAAUGACGGUACUUGACUAAGAAGCCCCGGCUAAAUACGUGCCAGCAGCCGCGGUAAUACGUAUGGGGCAAGCGUUAUCCGGAUUUACUGGGUGUAAAGGGAGCGUAGGCGGCAUGGCAAGUCAGAAGUGAAAGCCUGGGGCUCAACCCCGGAAUUGCUUUUGAAACUGUCAGGCUAGAGUGUCGGAGGGGUAAGCGGAAUUCCUAGUGUA